UCUCUCUGAAUCUGCGAACGGCUCCGCAAACCAGUUGUAAACCAAAGCAAGCAUACUCGGGGUUUGCCCUUCACGGGGUCGGCUACGGGUGAUACGGGUAACCCUGGUAAUUCUGAGGCUAAUACGAGAAUGUACUCCCUGGCUAACCGGGAAACUGGUAGGCUGGGGGGCGUGUGAUCUAUUUGCAAGACGAUUCCAGGAAGGGGUGCACGCUCUGACCGCGACAAAGACAGUUCUGACGGACCCUCACGGGCGAGUCGGUUCUGAGCGGCUCUUGCGAAGUGCUUCUGACCUAUCAACUAGACGGCAGCGUAACGGACAUGCCAUGGUUACAACGGGUACAGAGGAUUAGGGUUCGAUCCUGGAGAGUGGGCCUGAGAGAUU
rnacentral:rRNA from 1 species